rnacentral:rRNA from 1 species
GUGUCAGCAGCCGCGGUAAAACGUAGGAGACAAACGUUAUCCGGAGUUACUGGGCGUAAAGGGCGUGUAGGUGGUUUUGUAAGUCUGGCGUGAAAUUUUUCGGCUUAACCGGGAAAGGUCGUCGGAUACUGCAGGACUAGAGGACGGUAGAGGCGUGUGGAAUUCCGGGUGUAGUGGUGAAAUGCGUAGAGAUCCGGAGGAACACCAGUGGCGAAGGCGACACGCUGGGCCGUACCUGACACUGAUGCGCGACAGCAUGGGGAGCAAACAGGAUUAGAAACCCGCGUAGUCC